GGGGAGUUUGGCUGGGGCGGCAUAUCUGUUAGACCACAACGCAGGUGUCCUAAGCGAGGCUCAGUGUGAACAGGAAUCACACGUGGCGCAUAAGGGUAAACAGCCUCGUUGACUACGUGAUCUUCAGUAUUGAUCCUAGCUGUGAAAGCAUGGCCUUACGAUCCUUUGGUCCCGUAUUAAAUGUUCAAGGUAUUGAAGCCAGAGGUGACAGAAAAAUUACCAUAGGGAUAACUGGCUUGUGGCGGCCAAGCGUUCAUAGCG
rnacentral:rRNA from 1 species